rnacentral:rRNA from 1 species
AUGAACGCUGGCGGCGUGCCUAAUACAUGCAAGUCGAGCGAACAGACGAGGAGCUUGCUCCUCUGACGUUAGCGGCGGACGGGUGAGUAACACGUGGAUAACCUACCUAUAAGACUGGGAUAACUUCGGGAAACCGGAGCUAAUACCGGAUAAUAUAUUGAACCGCAUGGUUCAAUAGUGAAAGACGGUUUUGCUGUCACUUAUAGAUGGAUCCGCGCCGCAUUAGCUAGUUGGUAAGGUAACGGCUUACCAAGGCAACGAUGCGUAGCCGACCUGAGAGGGUGAUCGGCCACACUGGAACUGAGACACGGUCCAGACUCCUACGGGAGGCAGCAGUAGGGAAUCUUCCGCAAUGGGCGAAAGCUUGACGGAGCAACGCCGCGUGAGUGAUGAAGGUCUUCGGAUCGUAAAACUCUGUUAUUAGGGAAGAACAAAUGUGUAAGUAAAUAUGCACGUCUUGACGGUACCUAAUCAGAAAGCCACGGCUAACUACGUG